rnacentral:lncRNA from 1 species
AAGACUAAACCCUAGUUCACCCAAACCUUUCCAAACCCAUCCAACUUCCAACCAAACAACCACUACAGUUCACUCAAUUCGUAUCUCUUACCAAUUACCCUAGAAACCCCGCCAAAAUUAGUCAAUUGUAGAUCCUAGAGUCCAGAAGAAACCCUAGUUCAAUCUUGCAAAAAUUUUUGGCGUGUUUUGUUCGUCUUUGGUCGAGACUCGUGUGAAUUGAUUGCUUUUGAUAAGAGCAAUCAUUUUGCAUUAGCUUCGACCCAUUUCGAAGUCACCGCUGAAGCGUGGCCAGGUCGCACCAUUCUUUGUUCACAGUACCCUUCCUCUUUCUUUUCUUGUUCCCGUUUUGUUUUUGUUUUUGUUUCUAAUUUCUUCUUCAGUUGUUUGAGUCAAUUUCUGAUUAACUACUUGUUUGAAUGUGCUUUGAGUAUUCAAUUGUUCAAAUUAAUUUUAUUGGCUAUUCGUUUAAGAUAAUUUGAACAUGUUACUUGUUUGAAGUUAGGCUGGAUUAUUUGUUUGAGUAAUGUAGUUUCAUUAUUUGGAUUGGUUCUUAUUAUUCACUAGGUCAAAUUAUUUUAGAUAUUUUAAAAUCAGUAUCUCUGUUUGGUCAGUCCUGUAAGCUCCAUGAUUAGUAGAUUUAAAUCAACUAAUUGACGACUGAAUUUGCAUAUCUUUCAUGUUUUUUGAACUUAGUUGAUUAAGUUGCUAAUUAAUUACAUGAAUGGUCAAAUGAUUUGGGUUAAGUUGUGGCAUUUGUUUUACUUUGGCUUGGUCUUGGUUUCGUCCUGGACCAUCUGGCCAUGUUUUGGGUGUUUAUUGGUCCAUUUGGCCAUGGUAAUUGGCCCAGACUUAAGAGGGGUUUAACCAGAUAAUCAAAAUUUAGGUAAAAUUACAAUAAGCAAAGGUUAGAAGGGUAAAUUAGGGGUUUUAAAUGAGGAAAUAUGAGAAUGUUCUAGUAUAUGGCAGUUGUCCCCAUUCGUAGCAUAAAAAUGCUGGUAAUGGAGAAGAAAAGGACAUAUAACUGUAUAAAAGAUGUUAUACUAUUCUAUAGUUUCAUAAUUAGGUUAGAAUAUUCCACUUUAAUGCCAUUUUUGUACACUUUAUAAAAGGGAAUAACAUUGACUCAAACAUAGAGAUUCAGCAUCAUAUUUUGCCUAAAAGGUUCUGAAAGAUACAUCAGAAAUUUAGAGCCUAAAAGAAAUACUCAAAGUUUCAGCAUUGUUUGGUUGAAAAUUGGUUAGAAUCGUUUUCCUUGGUUUUUCUCUGUUAGUAAGAACCUCAAAGUUUUCGAAGGACUUCAGGUUUUCUAGGUUUAAGAUUGGCCCAAAAAGCUGAAUGUUGCUGUUUGAGCUGCUGAUUUACUCAUACUUCUGUGCUUGCUGAACUUCUCAUUCCCAUUGCAAUAUCUAGAUACUUCUUGGACUCUACAUGAUCUUUAAAGUGCAAGCCUGUCGUUCUGUUGGAAAUAUGUAGCUAAAAAUUGAAGAUCUAAUGAAAUGCUCCCCUUUUUAUUUUAUUCCCAUAUUUUCUCCUAAGUUCUUUAAGUUCCUUUAUUAGUUUUAGUCUUGGUAUUCAUGUGGUUUGGAUAUGUUUGAUGGCAAUUUGUCUAGUAGAAAAUGUUACAUGUGAAGGUCUACUAGUUUGGUUGUUAUGAAAUAUGUAGAACUUCAAGUCAGUAUAGGUUUCUAAUAGUUUGUUCGUAAUAAAGGAUGUUGGCUCAUGUAUGUUUGAAACGCAGUACUUAGCAUAUAUAUAUAUUUUCAAAAUUGUAACUUUGAUAGAACAAGUGUGUAUGUAGUAGUAUAGCUUUAUGAGUAGUUUCAGUUCAAGUUCAUGUUGUUAACAUUAGUAGCAAUAUAAUGAUUGUAAGGUUUAUAGCA